rnacentral:lncRNA from 1 species
AUGAUUCAUAUUUCUAAUAUCCUCCUUAUUUUCCUGAAACCACUUAUUAUAGUUAUAUUUGGCAUCCUUUAGUGUAGACUUUUAUUUUUCUCUUUCUUUCAUGAUCCUUACAGUCUUAUUUUUUCACUCUUAUUUUAUUCUAUAACCAUAUUUUCCUUUAAUCAAGAGCCACUUAAGACUAGGGAUAAAAUCCUUGGCUCUAGAUUGUGCUGUUAUAAAUAAUUUAGUUGUUGGAGGUGAGGAAGCUGGUCGUGGUGUAUAGCCUGGGCUCAGGCACUGCUGCUCAAUUGCCACGGGUGUCCCUUUCACUGUAGGAACUUUCUGUCUAGUACCUCCUUCCCACGCAUCAUUCUUAUCAGAUGGUAGCCUCUCUCUGAUAUAACUGCCAGGUCAGCGGUUGACGUGGGGAGAAGUGAAUGCUUCGGGGCUGUCCAGGCUCCUGCAUGUGGAGUUAGGGAUUCCUCACCAUCCCUGGGCUCUAGAGCUCCUCCGUCAUUAGUUCCCAGCCUUGGGCUGGCACUGGCCUGAUUCUGCUGCGUUUUUGCCCCAUAGCAUAUCUUUCCAAGGGGUUCUUGAAGAUUUUGUAUUAAUUGCUGAGUAUGGCCCGAGAGUCAUCCAUCCUCAGACUUCGUCUGUGUUAUCGCUAUGUUUGAACUGAUCAGGGGAGAGGACAAUUGGCUCAUUCCAGCUCGUCAGUUUUUGGCCCCAGAAUCGUAGCGCAAGCGCUUUGUAUUCCAUAAAGAUUUAUGCUAAUGUUGGUGUUAUUAUUUUCUCACUUUUAUUUUUACUCAGUUGUAUGAAGAAUUGAUGUGCCUCUAGUUCUUUUGUAUCAUUUGUUUUCCAAGACUUAAAUUCAAAAUUUCAAAGAAGAAAAAUACAUACCUGCACACUCCCAUUUAGAAAGCCCUUUUUAUCUAGAAAUCAGGUCCUAUUUAUCAACGUAUAAUACUGUUGGUAUUUUGGAGACAAAUUUAUUUCUUUUCUGCUUUUUUUUUUUUUAGGGCUGCCCUUGCAGAAUAUGAAAGUUCCUAGGCUAGGGGUUGAAUUGGCACUGUGGCUGCCGCCUACACCACAGCCACAGCAACCCCAGAUCCCCCACCCACUGAGUGAGGCCAGGGAUCGACCAGGAUCAAACCUGCAUCCUCAUGGAUACUAGUCAGAUUUGUUUCCGCUGAGCCACAAUGGGAAUGCCUAGCUUGUUUUACUUAGUAGAGUGUUUUCAGAUUUCAUCCGUGCUGUGGUGUCAGUAUUCAUUCCUUUUUAUUGAUAAAUAAUAUUUGAUUUUAUUGAUAUAGCACGUUUUGGUUUUGUACUCAAGAGUUGAUGGACUUCUGGGUUGUUUCUACUUUCUGGAUAUUUUGAAAAAUGCUACUAUGCCAUAUUUGUGUACAAGUUUUGUUUUUAUUUCUUUUGGGUAUGUAACUAAGAAUGGAAUUUCUGGGUCGUGUGGUAAAUUUUCAUUACUAAUUGAAAAGACUUUCUCCACUGAGUGAUCUUGGGACUGUUGUUGAAAAUCAGCUGGCCGUAAAUGUGAGAAUUUAUUUCUGUAAUCUCAGAACUAUUUCAUUAAUCUGUAGGUCUGUCAUAUGACAGUCCCACACUAUCUCGAUUACUACAGUUUUGUAGUAAGUUUUGAAAUUAGAAAAUAUGAGUCCUCCAACUUUCUUCUUUUUGAAGAUUGUUCAGUUCUUCUGGGUCCUUUGAAUUUUCACAUGAAUUUCAGGAUAGGUUUGUCAAUUUCUACAAAGACUUUUGCUAGAACUGUCAUAGGGACUAUACUGAAUAUGUAGACCAAUUUGGGAGAAUAUAUAGUAAAUUAACAUUUAUUUUAUUAAGGUGGUAGUUUCAUAAAUUGACUCAUUUUAUCCUUCUUAAUAAAAAUUCACAUCAAAUUUCCUUCAUCUUGAUAAAUAAUUAUUAUUUCUGAUAUUUAAAAUUCCCUAUAUCCAUAUAUGUCAAAUGAUCUCAAGUAAGUUGACAACUUAGAAUUUUUUUUUUUUUUUUUUGCCUUUUCUAGGAUCGCUUUCGCGGCAUAUGGAGGUUCCCAGGCUUGGGGUCUAAUCGGAGCUGUAGAUACCAGCCUACGCCAGAGCCACAGCAACGCGGGAUCCGAGCUGCAUCUGCGACCUACACACAGCUAAUGGUAACACCAGAUCCUUAACCAACUGAGCAAGGCCAGGGAUUGAACCUGCAACCUCAUGGUUUCUAGUCGGAUUUGUUAACCACUGCGCUAUGAUGGGAACUAUGACAACUUAGAAUUUUUUAAAAAAUUCAAGUUGAAACUGUUGUUUAUACACUUUUUAGAGCUUAAGUUGUUUACUUGUAAAAAUUAAACAUCGGAAGUAAGUUUCAGCAGCUAACUGCUAAUUUCUUUCUUUGACAUACUUUAGAAAAUAAUAGAGGUAGAAAGAUAAGGUUUAAAAUAAUAUUUUGUUUUCUCCUUUGCUUAGCAUUUUGUAAUAAUUACUACUAAGUGGAAGUUAUCUAUUUGCUAAUAUACACAUGCAUAUGUGUACAUAUAUAUAUAUAUAUAUAUAUACAUUUAUAUGAGAUUUAUUUUCCAUUGUCGCAGUACACUAGAAGCUGCUCCAAAUCUUUUUUUUAAAUACGUAACUUAAUAUGAUGUGGUUUAUUGAAUUUGCUUACACAGUGAAUUCUGAAGCCUAGCCUAUUCUGAAAUAACAUUAAGAACUUUUUUUAAACCUAAAAAAAAAAAA